GUGGGGAAUAUUGGACAAUGGGCGAAAGCCUGAUCCAGCCAUGCCGCGUGUGUGAAGAAGGUCUUCGGAUUGUAAAGCACUUUAAGUUGGGAGGAAGGGCAGUAAGUUAAUACCUUGCUGUUUUGACGUUUCCGACAGAAUAAGCACCGGCUAACUUCGUGCCAGCAGCCGCGGUAAUACGAAGGGUGCAAGCGUUAAUCGGAAUUACUGGGCGUAAAGCGCGCGUAGGUGGUUUUGUAAGUUGGAGGUGAAAUCCCCGGGCUCAACCUGGGAACUGCCUCCAAAACUGCAUGACUAGAGUACGGUAGAGGGUAGUGGAAUUUCCUGUGUAGCGGUGAAAUGCGUAGAUAUAGGAAGGAACACCAGUGGCGAAGGCGACUACCUGGACUGAUACUGACACUGAGGUGCGAAAGCGUGGGGAGCAAACAGGAUUAGAUACCCGUGUAGUCC
rnacentral:rRNA from 1 species